AAUAAAAGGAUAUUCUGUUAAAUUUAACCCCAAAAAAGUUUUCUUUUAACGCGGUUAACUUAUUAUUCUUAUAAAAAAUUUUAAAAAAAUUCUCAGUCCUAAUCUCAGUCGUUUCAUUCUCACGACAAUCUCUUCACUCUUCCCUUCCAUUCUCACUCUGAAUCGCAGAUCAUCAAAACCAACAGCCCGACGAACCAAAGCUUUCUUUCACCGACUCCUCCAUUUCACUCUCCCAAUCGAUUGAUCCUCUCUAUUUUUGAAGAAAUCUUAAUCGAUGUCGCUACAUUUUAUUGGAAGAAGAAAUCCAAAUCGAUGCCGUCCAAAAAGUUAAUCGAUCAAAUAUUGCAGCAGAUCCAAUUCUCACAUACAACGAUUCUGAUGUAGCUCCUUCAUUCCCCAAUAGUUUCCCUCGUAGCUUGGAUAUCCGCUCAGAGGGAGAAAAAUGUCGUUCGUUUCCCUUUUCCCUCUCUUGAUUUUUGAUAUUUUGUAAAGGGCAACAAUUCUAAUUUUAUUGGGUUCACUAUUGACUAUCUUCUCUCUCAUACAGACUGUACUCACUCUUAUUUUCUUCCAUGAUAGUGAAUCUCAUUUGCAAGCAUGAAGGAGUCAGAAGAAGAGUGGCAUGAUUAUAAGAUAGAUGACAAAAAGUGCCCCUGUCAGCGAGUACCAACAAUUUAUGAUAUUAAUAGCCAUAGUCUCUGAUUUUGAGAAUUAAAUAUAAGGAAAGUUUAAUUUCGGUAUAUUAUUAUACAUUAUUUCUGUGUACAUAGAAACCAAGUUUAUGCAUUAUCAACCCUGGGUUAUGGUAAUUUUUGUUACAAAGCAAGGAUCAUUCACAUAAAAAUGGGCUACUAAGUGCUUGUUUUAAUAUAACUUUAGGUAUAUUUGGGAAUAUUUCACAUUUUGGUAUGUUUUAGAAUGAGACUCAGGCAGCUCAUUGCAUAGCUACAGUUUCUGCAAACAAUUCUGAACAAUUAUUUUCUAUGACAAUUUGGUUGGUUUGUUUAUAUAUGGAUUAUCUGUUUACAUCGUUUUACAUGAACUAUUACAUGAGGAUGUUAUUUUAUUAGUUUUCAGAGCAUUUGCUUGUCUCUUAUUUUUUACUUUUCUUAAAUUGUUAGUAUAAACCAAUAUUUAGUUAAAUUAUGGCGCAAGAGUUUCAUAUAUGUUUUGUUCCAUUUGAAUGUUAGAUACUUUUGCAAAUUUGAAAUCGACCGUAGCUUUAAAUUUGUUUAUUGUAAUAAGCUUGAUUGAAAGUUUACAUCGUUACAUGAACUAUUACAUGAUGAUGUUAUUUUAUUAGUUUUCAGAGCAUUUGCUUGUCUCUUAUUUUUCACUUUUCUUAAAUUGUUGGUAUAAAUCAAUGUUUAGAUAAAUUAUGGCGCAUGAGUUUCAUAUAUGUUUUGUUCGAUUUGAAUGUAAGAUACUUUUGCAAAUUUGAAACCGACCAUAGCUUUAAAUCUGUUUAUAGUAAUAAGCUUGCUUGAAAAAGUAAAGUUCUUGCCAUAUUUUUGUUGGCGGCCAUAUGUUCUUGGUCACGUUUGAUUAGUCAAAGCUUGUGUGACUAUAUCCACCAAUUUAAUAAAACAGAAUUGUUUACUAUUUGCAGGAGGAUCGGAAAAUGGCUUCUCGUUUGGCAAAUACCAUGUCCAACUCACUGAAAGGGAGACCUGUUCAGGGUGGAUUGAGCUCUGGUUAUAAAAAAAAAUGUUGCAGAGAAAGGUUUGACUGAUGAAACUUACACAGCAGACAGUAUCACUUUGAUUAGGAUUUCUGGAACUUCCAUUCAUAAUAAUAAAGUAGUGCAAGUUGAUGCGGUAUGUUUUCUUUCCAGUAGAAGUUUCAUGGUGUUGCCUAUCCCCGUGAUAAUCUAGACUAUUUUGUCAUUAGGAUUUGAUGUUCCCAUAUCUAUAGAGAUUGUUGGCCUCAGGUCGGUUGUGAGAAUUAACUUCCCAAAACUGUCAUUUAGCUAGAAUACUUACUGAAAGUUUUCAAUGACAGAGUACCAUAAAAUAUUUUUCUGGUUUCUCAAUAAGAUAAGAAACUAUAACCUUUAUCAGUAGUGUAUUGCAUCACAAGAGCCUAUCCUUAAUUAUACUAUUCGGGCUAUUACAUUUGAUAUGGAUCUCUUCUGUCUCUUAUUUUGGCGCACACAAAUUCAUUUCCAUCUGCAUAUGUUCACAAAGAUAAGCUUACAGGAAGUCAAACCGAAAAUCUUAGAGAACAGAAGAGAAAUGAUACACUUACCUUUCAAAAUUUAAGUUUCAGAAGUUCAUGAAACCUACUGCUUAUUCGUUUUGCAAAAUAUGUGGAUAUUUUCAUCUAUGUCCAGCAAGUAACUAUAAAUUGUGGUCUCUGCUUAAUAUAUUUGUCAUUUUUCUUUUGGUAGCAGCAUCACUGAACUCUGCUGAUUGUUCCCUCAUGCAUGUUUGAACAACAACAGUUGGC